rnacentral:rRNA from 1 species
AGUGAACGCUGGCGGCGUGCCUAAUACAUGCAAGUCGAACGGCGUGGCGCACAGGGGAGUAAUAUAUAGGUGAACUGCCCCUUUCUGGAGGACAAACGUUAGAAAUGACUGCUAAUAACCCAUAGCAAGGGAUGAGACUAUAUCGUAUCAGAUAGUCGGUGGGGUAACGGCCUACCGAGGCUAUGACGCGUAACUGGUCUGAUAGGAUGAUCAGUCACAUUGGAACGGAGACACGGUCCAAACUCCUACGGGAGGCAGCAGUAGGGAAUAUUGCGCAAUGGGGGAAACCCUGACGCAGCAACGCCGCGUGGAGGAUGACACUGUUCGGAGCGUAAACUCCUUUUGUUAGGGAAGCGGUACCUAACGAAUAAGCACCGGCUAACUCCGUGCCAGCAGCCGCGGUAAUUC